rnacentral:rRNA from 1 species
UACGGAGGGUGCAAGCGUUGUUCGGAAUCACUGGGCGUAAAGCGCGUGUAGGCGGCCCAUUAAGUCUGAUGUGAAAGCCCGGGGCUCACCCCCGGAAGUGCAUUGGAACUGAUGGACUCGAGUCCCGGAGAGGAGGGUGGAAUUCCUGGUGUAGCGGUGAAAUGCGUAGAUAUCAGGAGGAACACCGGUGGCGAAGGCGG